GACAGAGGGUGCAAACGUUGUUCGGAAUUACUGGGCGUAAAGCGCGUGUAGGCGGCAGGGCAUGUCGGAUGUGAAAUCCCGUGGCUCAACCACGGAAGUGCACCCGAAACUGCCCAGCUUGAGUCCCGGAGAGGAAGGCGGAAUGCUUGGUGUAGAGGUGAAAUUCGUAGAUAUCAAGCGGAACACCGGUGGCGAAGGCGGCCUUCUGGACGAUGACUGACGCUGAGACGCGAAAGCGUGGGGAGCAAACAGG
rnacentral:rRNA from 1 species